rnacentral:rRNA from 1 species
UACGUAGGGUGCAAGCGUUGUUCGGAAUUAUUGGGCGUAAAGAGCUCGUAGGCGGUCUGUCGCGUCGGCUGUGAAAACCCGGAGCUCAACUCCGGGCCUGCAGUCGAUACGGGCAAACUGGAGUGUUGCAGGGGAGACUGGAAUUCCUGGUGUAGCGGUGAAAUGCGCAGAUAUCAGGAGGAACACCGGUGGCGAAGGCGGGUCUCUGGGCAACAACUGACGCUGAGGAGCGAAAGCGUGGGGAGCGAACAGG